UUUAGUUGCCGCCAAAACUGGUCACAUGACCAGAGCUCUUCUGUUUUGGAGGUUGUUUUUAGUUAGACAUCUUGAAAGGCAGUUUGCCGGUAUUUUUAUAGGAGGAUUUCACGCACAGAUCACACAGUGAGACAGGGUGGAGUGAAGCAGAGAACAGGGCAGUUUGUACACCUGAUUCCAUAAAUUGGGUGUCGUCUUCAUGUUAUCAUCAUCAUCUCUGGCUUUGUAUUAACUCAGUAACUGAUGUCACGUGUCUUAAUAUAAAUAAAGAAGAAAAACCGAACCCAGCCUUGGAUGUUUAUAUACUAACUUUUAAUACAUAAAUAGCCAAAGGGUUACAUUUGGCGCCCAACGGGGGACUUGAGAAAUAAAUUGGACAUGGUGACAUAGCUAAAAAUAGAAACACUGGAUUUUAUACGGAUUACAAGUGCAUGAACAGUAAGCAGACGUUUAGCACAAGAACACAAACUUCUUGUCUUAGGAAUAGGACUGAGAACAAGUGACAUUGGAUUUUUAAAGUUAACACAAGUGUUCGUAUAACAGUACGGAACAUAGUAACGUUCGUCAUUUAUGAACUUUAAUAAGUGAUUAGUGAGAUACAGACAGAAUUCAUAUUCGAACUGUCAUGACUCUUUUAUCAUCAGUUUUAAGCAGCAAUUUUACAUCAGACUUGACACUGUACAGUGAAAAAUAAUCCAUUGUUAUAUGCAAGCCAUCAGUGAUAACCGGAUGGACUUUACUAUAAACAGUAUCAUUCAGUAGAAUUCUUUUGGUGAUGGUCAAAAAGACAAAUUUGGCAAUUUGCAGGAAUCCAUUUUGGGGUUCACGGCAUCAACGGAAGUCGAUCAGUGAUAGUCAAAAACGUUAAACUUGGCUGUCUGCAGUACGAAGGACUCAAUUUUGGAUCGGGAUAUCGACGGGAUUCGAUCAGUGGUAGCCUUGAUAACAAACACGGCUAUCCGCAGUAACUGGAUUCACAUACAGGGCAACGGUAGGAUUUGAUCAGCCAUAGCAAAGACAAUACAAAUAAACGAUUUGUGUUUGGUACAGUAACAGUGUUAUAUUGAACUGAACUAUCAGAAAUACUAAAUUCAGACAACAGAACAUUUGUGAUGAUGUAUCUAGAAAGACUUAGACAGUGCAUCAUAAUAACAGUUAUCAGAAUAUAAACAUUUAAGAGACAGAAUUGUGAUCUAGUGGCAUUACCGGUCAACAGAUUUAUAAGUAACUUAAAGGUGAUUGAACAUUCAGAAAUUGCAGUUGUUCCAGGCUUAGAUUGAACUUGUCACCUAUUUUUUCAGAAGUUUUGAAAAAAUAAGCAAAGCAUAGCUACAUAGCCUGUUUAAGACUGCAGUUUUUGAAAGUAGCAAAUUUUAUAAGUUUCAGAUGUAAUUAUUUGAUACUUUGUCUGGAGGUGAAUAAUGUAGAAAGUCUGAGAGAAAUUCACUAUGCAUGAUAUCACAGUUAAAUAAUUAAUUGGUAAAGGGAUCAAUCUUUCACAUAAUUUUCUCUUCAUAGCCUAUAUUUCCUAUCUUGUCACAAAAUUCUUAACUAACUAAUAUCUAUAAUUGUCAUCUUUUCAGAACCAUCUCACUUUAGUGUAUAUCAAAAAAAUAAUGUAAACAAACUGUUGUUACAGUUUUUGACCUCAGUGUUGAAAUUCCUGACCUGCUGUCAGCAUCCUAAAAUCAAAUUUAUUUAGUAUAUUUAAAACAUUAUAGUUUACUCUGUGGUUUAAAACACUUAAUUGAUUUGACUAAAGACAAAAUAGUUGGUUGUUUGAUCAGUAUAGUGUAGUUUUAGUUGGAUUAUUUUGUGUAGAAUCUAAUCGCAGCUGCUUGACCUUGCUGGGUCUAUUUUGAGCAAGUAAACAUUGGUAUUCCCUGGGAUUCCUGAUUUGAUUGGUUCUGGCUUGAAUUUGAUUGGCUCACUAGAGAGAGACAUGACGUCAUAAGACUACGUGACUGAGUACCUGUACAAUCUUGGCAACCACUCUAGCAACCAAAUCUAUAUUUAGAUUGUACACUUCAUUGAUAAAUCUAUUUCAGGCAUAUAGUACUAAAGUAGUAGUGAAUAAUAAACAGUAGGAAAAUUUA